rnacentral:lncRNA from 1 species
UUUAAAACUACGUGUCUAUAGAAGACAACUUUUUAGACCAAGAACUUCUAAUUGAGGUGCUUUUGUUGGGGUGGGAUGGAGUGAAGGUGAGAGCGUGUGUUUCUUUUAUCUUUCAAGUGUAAAUUGAUACGGGAUCGUGCUACGGUUUAUAAAUACAUAACUUUUGAGUAGUCAAAUUUCAUGUCUCACAUUGAUAUUGGCAAGGAGAAGUGAAUCAUGAUAUUAAUCUUUAAUAGAUUAAGAAUAUUGAGUAGUUAAAUUUUAUGUGUUAGGUUGAUAUUGGCG